CCCAGACUCCUACGGGAGGCAGCAGUGGGGGAUAUUGCACAAUGGGCGCAAGCCUGAUGCAGCGACGCCGCGUGGAGGAAGAAGGUUUUCGGAUUGUAAACUCCUGUCUUCAGGGACGAUAAUGACGGUACCUGAGGAGGAAGCCACGGCUAACUACGUGCCAGCAGCCGCGGUAAUACGUAGGUGGCAAGCGUUGUCCGGAUUUACUGGGUGUAAAGGGCGUGUAGCCGGGCUGACAAGUCAGAUGUGAAAUCCGGGGGCUCAACCCCCGAACUGCAUUUGAAACUGUUGGUCUUGAGUAUCGGAGAGGCAGGCGGAAUUCCUAGUGUAGCGGUGAAAUGCGUAGAUAUUAGGAGGAACACCAGUGGCGAAGGCGGCCUGCUGGACGACAACUGACGGUGAGGCGCGAAAGCGUGGGGAGCAAACAGGAUUAGAUACCCCCGUA
rnacentral:rRNA from 1 species